rnacentral:rRNA from 1 species
UGCGUAGGUGGCGGGGUAAGUCAGGUGUGAAAUUUCGGAGCUUAACUCCGAAACUGCAUUUGAUACUGCCUUGCUUGAGGACUGGAGAGGAGACUGGAAUUCACGGUGUAGCAGUGAAAUGCGUAGAUAUCGUGAGGAAGACCAGUGGCGAAGGCGGGUCUCUGGACAGUUCCUGACACUGAGGACAAGGACCAGGGGAGGCGAAACG